ACCUGACGCAGCACGCCGCGUGAGUGAUGAAGCUCUUUGGAGUGUAAAGCUCUGUCAGAAGGGAAUAAGAGGGUGUAUACUAAUACUGUACAUUCUUGACGGUACCUUAGAGGAAGCCCCGGCUAACUCCGUGCCAGCAGCCGCGGUAAUACGGAGGGGGUAAGCGUUGUUCGGAAUUACUGGGCGUAAAGAGCAUGUAGGUGGUUUGGUAAGUCAGUCGUUUAAUCCCUCGGCUUAACCGAGGUCCUGCGGAUGAUACUGCCAGACUUGAGUACGGGAGAGGAGAGUGGAAUUCCAUGUGUAGCGGUGAAAUGCGCAGAUAUAUGGAGGAACACCCGUGGCGAAGGCGGCUCUCUGGACCGCUACUGACACUGAGAUGCGAAGGCGUGGGGAGCAAACGGGAUUAGAUACCCCGGUAGUCCACGCGGUAAACGAUGGGUACUUGGUGUAGAGGGCAUCGACCCCCUCUGUGCCGGAGCUAACGCAUUAAGUACCCCGCCUGGGGAGUACGACCGCAAGGUUGAAACUCAAAGGAAUUGACGGGGGCCCGCACAAGCGGUGGAGCAUGUGGUUUAAUUCGACGCAACGCGAAGAACCUUACCAGGGUUUGACAUGUAUGUGACAGCCGGUGAAAACCGGUCUUCUUUCGGGACACAUACACAGGUGCUGCAUGGCUGUCGUCAGCUCGUGUCGUGAGAUGUUGGGUUAAGUCCCGCAGCGAGCGCAACCCCUACCCUUAGUUGCCAUCAGGUUAUGCUGAGAACUCUAAGGGAACUGCCGGUGAUAAACCGGAGGAAGGUGGGGAUGACGUCAAGUCCUCAUGGCCCUUAUGUCCUGGGCUACACACGUGCUACAAUGGCUGGUACAAAGGGUCGCGAUACCGCAAGGUGGAGCCAAUC
rnacentral:rRNA from 1 species